rnacentral:rRNA from 1 species
UACAGAGGGUGCGAGCGUUAAUCGGAUUUACUGGGCGUAAAGGGCGCGUAGGUGGUAAAGCAAGUAAGAUGUGAAAUCCCUGGGCUUAACCUAGGAAGUGCAUCUUAAACUGCUUAACUAGAGUAUGGUAGAGGGUAGUGGAAUUUCCGGUGUAGCGGUGAAAUGCGUAGAGAUCGGAAGGAACGCCAGUGGUGAAGACGACUACCUGGACCAAUACUGACACUGAGGCGCGAAGGCCAGGGGAGCAAACGGG